rnacentral:rRNA from 1 species
AGAGUUUGAUCCUGGCUCAGGACGAACGCUGGCGGCGUGCCUAAAACAUGCAAGUCGAACGAGGAGCAAUCCUAGUGGCGAACGGCGGAGUAAUACGUAAGCAACGUGCCCUCAUGUCUGGGAUAUACGGCCGAAAGGCCGGGCAAUACCGGAUGUGGCCGUCCCGCGGCAUCGCGGGGCGAUUAAAGGUUUUUCGCGUGAGGAGCGGCUUACGGCCUAUCAGCUAGUUGGUGGGGUAACGGCCUACCAAGGCGACGACGGGUAGGGGGUCUGAGAGGAUGAUCCCCCCGAGUGGGACUGAGACACGGCCCACACACCUACGGGUGGCAGCAGUUGGGAAUCUUGCACAAUGGGGGAAACCCUGAUGCAGCGACGCCGCGUGGAGGACGAAGGAUUUAGGUCUGUAAACUCCUUUUACCAGGAAAGACUUAGGACGGUACCUGGUGAAUAAGCCCCGGCUAACUACGUGCCAGCAGCCGCGGUGAUACGUAGGGGGCGAGCGUUGUCCGGAUUUACUGGGCGUAAAGGGCGCGUAGGCGGUCCGCUAAGCAUGAAGUGAAAUCUCCAGGGCUCAACCCGGAAACUGCUUUGUGAACUGGCGGACUCGAGGGAGGCAGAGGUAGAUGGAAUUCCCGGUGUAGCGGUGACAUGCAUUGAUAUCGGGAGGAACACCCAUGGCGAAGGCAGUCUACUGGGCCUCUCCUGACGCUGAGGCGCGAAAGCGUGGGUAGCAAACAGAAUUAGAUACUCUGGUAGUCCACGCCCUAAACGAUGGAUGCUAGGCGUCGGGGGUAUCGACCCCUCCGGUGCCGUAGCUAACGCAUUAAGCAUCCCGCCUGGGGAGUACGGCCGCAAGGUUGAAACUCAAAUGAAUUGACGGGGACCCGCACAAGCGGUGGAGCAUGUGGAUUAAUUCGAUACUAACCGAAGAACCUUACCCAGGUUUGACAUCAAAGGAAAGCCCGUGAAAGCGGGCCCUUGGCCACAAGCCGACCUGAAGACACCUGUUGCAUGGCUGUCGUCAGCUCGUGCCGUGAGGUGUUUGGUUAAGUCCAGCAACGAGCGCAACCCUCGUCCUGUGUUGCCAGCGGGUAAAGCCGGGAACUUGCAGGAGACCGCCGGUGUAAACCGGAGGAAGGUGGGGAUGACGUCAAGUCAGCAUGGCGGUUACGCCUGGGGCUUCACACAUGCUACAAUGGGCGCAACAAAGGGCAGCGAUACCGCGAGGUGGAGCUAAUCCCAAAAAUACGCCCCCAGUUCAGAUUGCAGUCUGCAACUCGACUGCAUGAAGGCGGAAUCGCUAGUAAACGCAGGUCAGCUAUACUGCGUUGAAUACGUUCCCGGGUCUUGUACACACCGCCCGUCAAGUCACCCGAAUUGUCUUCACCCGAAGUCCGUGGCCUAACCGCAAGGAAGGAGCGGCCGAAGGUGAGGGGGGUAAGGGGGACUAAGUCGUAGCAAGGUAGCCGUA